rnacentral:rRNA from 1 species
UACGGAGGGGGCUAGCGUUGUUCGGAAUUACUGGGCGUAAAGCGCGCGUAGGCGGACUUUCAAGUCAGGGGUGAAAUCCCGAGGCUCAACCUCGGAACUGCCUCUGAUACUGUAAGUCUUGAGUCCGAGAGAGGUGAGUGGAAUUCCUAGUGUAGAGGUGAAAUUCGUAGAUAUUAGGAAGAACACCAGUGGCGAAGGCGGCUCACUGGCUCGGUACUGACGCUGAGGCGCGAAAGCGUGGGGAGCAAACAGG